AAAAAGCUUGAGAAAGCUUACACAUUACCCUUGGCUUUUACUUAAAUAAAAAAAAGUUGGAGAAUGAAGACUAAAAUCGUUCAGCCUCGAGUGUUUAGGGUUUAGUCUUUUUUCCCUGAAAUCGUUUGACGUGAAUGAAACUGUAAUCAGGGGACGAACACAAACAAAAGCUGUUUUUGUUCAAAGAAUCAACCCUCAACGGAUGAGGAUGAACCCACUCUGAAAAACAAUGAUUUUAGUCUUUCAGUCCUUUUUUGAAAGAUAAUCUCUGCCUAUUCUUUUUUUUUCUUCUUUUAACUUGCAUUCCUCUCUCUCCUCAUCUAUAACGGAAAAAAAUCCUCUGCCACACUUUCAAUUUCUACGCGUUUCAUCUUCCUCUCUAAAGCUUGAUUCGUCCACCCAUUUCCUAUUUAGCCAUGGCUGCUUAUCUGCGUUUUGUUUUGUCUGCUCCGAUAAUUCUACCAUUGAAGAAGCUAUCAUGCCUUUCUUAUCAUCGUCUUCGUCGAUCCCUUCUCCGCCUCCACCACCUGCGUUUUUUACUCGAAGAGGAGUUGAAACAAAUCGCUGCCUACAAACCCGUUGAGUUAAUAUUUACUCAUUCUUACUCAACGCAUCCAAAACGAAACUGUAAGCUUCCUUUUGGGGAAGUAUCCCUUCAUCAUGCUCUCGUGAGCGAUCCCAUAUGAGACAAACCCUAACUUCUCUUUUAAUUCCUCGUACAAAGCUGAAACUCCAUUCGAAUCCGACUACUUGAAUCGGUUGCGAGUCUUGCGACAGAACGAGCACAAAUUCGCCAUGUUUCUGAGGAUGUAUUAAAGGAAGCCGAAGCAAUCGGUCGAAAAAUCCAUCGAUAAAUUGGGUUCUCUCUUUCUAAUUCGGUCUGCUUGGGAAUUGCCCCUAAACUUUCUUUGCCUCUCUGUUCCUGCUGUUCGCAGAAAAACUUCACAGGAGAGGAACAUAUCAAGGGCAGCCUCUGCCAGUGCUCGUCCAGCCCUCUCUUUCAAGUUUUGUUGGGGUGGAAGAAGACGAUGGCGAAGAAAGUUUAUGUUGUUUUUGAGGGGUACAAGUACAACCAAGGAAUAAACCAGACUGUAUUUCAGUCAUAUCGUUCUUUAGCUGAAGCAUAACGCGAGUGGUAUGCCUUUCAGUCAAGAAGCAAUAUUUACAAGGAAGGGAGAUCAUCACAAGGGAAUUCCUUCAUUGAAAAAACUGAAUCUUUAGGAGCGGGCCCUAGAUGUUUGGAUGAGAUUCCUUCAGAUGGAAAUAUCUGCAUGUUCGGUAACUUCUUUGCCUCCUCUUUAAGCCUGCGCAACAGAGGAGCCCCAGAGCCCCUCCACCCCUGUCUCUGGUCAUAUACAACAUGGUUUGCCUCUGUUGUUGCUGUUCAAAGAAAACGUCACGGAUUCUGGUUCCUACUCUUUAAUUUAGGUCCUUGGAAAUGCAAAAGGAGCGGUGGCUGUGGUGGUCUCUAUUCUAAUCUUUAGAAAUCCUGUUUCAGUGACUAGAAUGCUUGGUUACUCGCUAACAGUUAUGGGAGUUAUCCUUUACGGCGAAGUGAAGAAACGGAGCAAGUGAAGAAACCGUCUGUUGAAUAGGCAUACAAAUACAGGAAUGUGUUUUCUUGUAUUUUAUCUUUUUUUAUUAUGAGGGUCGCAACAUGAUUCUUGGAGCUGAGAUUGGAAACACAUUAGUUUGAGGCUCGUUUAGAGAGAUGGGAUGUUUCUAAGGGUGGUUGUCCCUCGAGAUUUGAGAAUUUUCUCAAAUUAGAGCCGAUGAUUCUCUAAAACUCAACAGCCCUUCUCUCUUCUACCAAAAAAGAAAAAAAAAACUGAGAUUGGUGCUAUUCAGCCGAUUUCAUAUCUUGCACCCUCCAAAGUCCUUUUGUCGGAGACCGGCGAUAGGGUUUCUACCUGUAUCAAGCAUCAAUAGCAACGGCCAGCUUAGGAAAGGCUAGGAAAAUCUCAAUCAGAGGACUCAUUGGUCUGUCUUUUCUUCCUAUGAUAGAGGAAUGUGUACUAUUCUUUUCAAGGACAGAAUUGGGUCUCUAUGCCCAAUUUUUUUUUUUUUUUUAGUCAUUUUGACAUUUCUUGAUUAAUUAAUUGAAGAUAUUCUGAUACUUU